GGCUCUUUGUUCUUUUUAUAUAAAGAGUCGAGCCUGCCCAGUGAAAAUUUUAACGGCCGCGGUACUCUGACCGUGCAAAGGUAGCAUAAUCAUUUGCCUUAUAAUUGAAGGCUAGUAUGAAUGGUUUGACGAAAGCAGAUCUGUCUCUUUUUUACUAUCUAGAAUUUAACUUUUAGGUGAAGAGGCCUAAAUAUUAUUGAAGGACAAGAAGACCCUGUCGAGCUUAAAAGAACGGGUAGAAGUUAAUAUGUUUUAAAAUAAAUAAUCUACUGAGCUUUUUAGUUGGGGCGACUAAGGAACAAAAAAAGCUUCUUGACCAAAAAAAACCAACAAGUUUAGAUCCAAGCACUUUGAUCAAAGAAAUUAGUUACCGCAGGGAUAACAGCAUAAUCUCUCUUGAGAGACCUAAUCGAAAGAGGGGGUUGUGACCUCGAUGUUGGACUAGAAUAUCCUAAAGAUGCAGAAGUCUUUAAGGGUUGGUCUGUUCGACCAUAAAAAUUCU
rnacentral:rRNA from 1 species